AGAGUUUGAUCAUGGCUCAGGACGAACGCUGGCGGCGUGCCUAAUACAUGCAAGUCGAGCGAACUUUUGGGAGCUUGCUCCCAAAAGUUAGCGGCGGACGGGUGAGUAACACGUGGGCAACCUGCCUAUAAGACUGGGAUAACUUCGGGAAACCGGAGCUAAUACCAGAUAAUUCUUUUCUACACAUGUAGAAAAGCUAAAAGACGGUUUACGCUGUCACUUAUAGAUGGGCCCGCGGCGCAUUAGCUAGUUGGUGAGGUAACGGCUCACCAAGGCCACGAUGCGUAGCCGACCUGAGAGGGUGAUCGGCCACACUGGGACUGAGACACGGCCCAGACUCCUACGGGAGGCAGCAGUAGGGAAUCUUCCGCAAUGGACGAAAGUCUGACGGAGCAACGCCGCGUGAGUGAUGAAGGUUUUCGGAUCGUAAAACUCUGUUGUUAGGGAAGAACAAGUAUGAGAGUAACUGCUCGUACCUUGACGGUACCUAACCAGAAAGCCACGGCUAACUACGUGCCAGCAGCCGCGGUAAUACGUAGGUGGCAAGCGUUGUCCGGAAUUAUUGGGCGUAAAGCGCGCGCA
rnacentral:rRNA from 1 species